CCGAGAGCCAGCUUUUGAGAAUACAGAUUGAGCUCGACAGAUUAAACGCCAGAACAAGUCGUUGAGGAUUUCAGAUCAAGAAUCUUCGAAGGCCAGUUCAUUUAGUGGUGUUAAUAUUCUGCUCAAAGUUGUUGAUUGUUACGUUCAUAUGGUGCCCAAGCAUUGCGGUAACAACUUCACUUGGAGUACAUAGCAAGGGUGUAUUCGACGUAAGCUUCUGGCUUUCUUCUGUGUUUUCAAAAACUGGUUUCUUGUUCAGUUUAAAUUUUCAAAUUUUGCAUUGUUUAUUAGGUGUUGUGUCCUGUUUCCUUUUCCUGCAGCUUCUUAGUUAAACAUCUGAAUAGUGAACACAACUUGACCUUUUGCUUGAUUUUCUAGAUUACACGCCCUCGAUGGAAAACAAUUUCACUUCAAACAGCUUGUACCGUACUGAAAGAAUAACUUGAAGCAGCCAUAGCCACCAAUAACACGCAAGAGAUGAUUAUGAAAAUUGUAAUAUUGUUUUUUGAUCUACAGGGUGUCUUAACUAUCGUGCACCAAGAUUUAGAAAUAUGUAAAUGCGAUGUAACUAGACAAAAUGAAGGUAAUGUUGUUUGCCAUCGCUUGGAGAUACUCUGAUUAUUUUUUGCAUUCUGCCUCAUUACAUAAUUCUUAAUUAGUUAAUAAAUAUCUCAAAUAAUUAAAUGAAAUGUGUCAAUGAAAAGUUGUAGAGCAAUAUGAAAGCGUCCUGAUACACUUUUUUGUUACUGUUACUCACUGUGUGCUACAUAAAAGUUUUUUUUCAAGGAAUAAGCCUGCGAAUACACAAAGUGUCUUGAGUGGCCAGUCAUGUGUCAGUUUUGUGGUGCAAAGCCACGAAUACAACUUAAAUGGGUUCCUUUAAGAAAAAGACUUGGCUCAGAAAAUUAUCCUUCUUUAUGCAGCCUGUGGAGACAAGGUUUCUUAGACUUGGCCAUGGACCUCAAGGAAGAUGCCGAGGCCACAGGCAGUUCCUCCACAGCAAGUUUAUCCUUGCAAGCGUUUUGGGUCAAGAACAACUUUCACCAGGAAGAAGUGCAAGACGAGUGAUUGAAAAAAAUAAAGUUGCUUCUGUUAUCUAAGAA